AGCAAAAGGCAAUGGGUUGCUGAUAGUGUAUCCAAACAGUGCAGCCUGUACAUCCAAAUGCAUAGUGACAGCAGCUAAACAGAUGCUAGCAAAUAGAACGGUCCUGCCAAACAUGAGGGAGGUAUGUACAUUAUAGAGGGACGCCUCUUGUAUAUAAUAAUAACUAUGGAAACAAGAGGGCUGUGCCAUUGAUUCAGCACACCCCGCUUGGACAAGUUGGUGUAUAACGAUACAUUUUUACCCGUCUUACCCAUGCUGGUAAGGAGGGAAUGAUAGGAUAACAAAGGAAAUGUGGUGGCACUGCAUAUUAGGAAUGGCAACUUUAUUCAUUUGCAUGGGGUUGCCGACCUGUGUAAAAAGUUACAUGCUUGAGUUGUUUUACUGUUCAUGUUUUAAACUAUCUGUUAUGUUUAAACUAUUUAAAUAGUUGUUAUUUUAAUAUAUUUGAUUCCUUUUUAAUGCCUUUGGCAACAAAAAAAAAAAGCCUUCAAAAUGUCAUUGAGGGUGAGUCUGUAGAACACUCUGCCUGGCAAUUCCUGCAGUAGGUAGGUUGUUCAACCUUGUGAGAGACUACUCAGUCUGUCCUGGGGUUCUGGUAAAAGUAAGUCUGGAUGGAUAACGUCUCUCGGUAGUGAGUCUCAGUUGUAGGCAAGGUCCAAGAUGAACAAAUUUGGUUCUCUCUAUGUCGAAGGUAACAGAUUAAGAAUGAUGAGAAUGACUUGGAUUGGAAUUGCUCCUACUUUAGCAACACGUUGUAUUUGUUAAACUAUUAAAUAGAGGAUUGAUUUUGGUGAUACCAGUACUAUAUUCAAGAACAAGUGGUUGGGAGAUGUUUACACGAUAUGUAUUGGGAAUAUGACAACAUGUUUGAAGGGACUAACUGAGAAGUAUUACAUAUAAGCAAACUAAGUAAAAAAGAUGAGAAGGAAGGGAUAUUGAAUGAUUUUGUGUUUUAAAAAAAAUAAAUUUAAAAUCAGGAGAAAAUGCAGAUUUAGUUCUGUGGGCAAGGUGAGCUUGUAGGAGCAUAUCCGGAGAAUUAUGUGUCUUUAGCUCUCUGGCAUUGAGGAAAAUGAUAUAUACAUAUGUUAUUAAUCACAAAGCUAUCCAGGGGCUUUUGUUUGUGCUCGAGUUGAGGCUGGUAAAGGAUGGGAAAGCAGUUUAAGGAGAUAAUGCCAAGGGCCCAGUGUUAUAAAUAUUGCGUAGUAUUUUAGAUUUAUUUAGUAGGUGGAGUGAAGCUCUACCAACCACUGUUAAUAAGGAAAAAUGUGCACAUUUUAAUAUCUGACAGCAAUUCACUGUGUACACCACCCACAGGUAUCUGGGAUGGUGGAAAGAGUCAAUGGGGAUUGCAAAACAAAAUUACCCAGGAGAUCUACAUUCCCAGGUUGGAGGAGCUUUGCUGGGAGCCAUAAAAGCUAUACGAUGGGGGUGCUGGGACAAGAAGAAAUUGAAACUGUAUUGAAAAGAAACAACCAAGUGUUGUUAACAACAUGAACUGCUGUAAAGAUGAAAGAUCAUCAUCGCUGGAUACAUUUGAUUGACUGUGAACAGUUUGUGGAAACAAGGACGAUGGGCUAUUGAUGCUCCUUUAUUCUGGGGUGGCCCAGCCCACAUGGACUGAACUUUCUUCAGAAUGGCAAACUUGCGGACUAAAACACAUUUAAAGGAUGGUACACACCUCCUUUUAAACAAGAUUGAAGUCAAACAUGACAAGCGCAGCAAAGAUACCCUGACUACAGACAGUAAGAGGUCUGCAAAGGCCAGUUAAAUCUACCUGUUUUUGCCACAACCAAGGCACUGGUGUAUUUUAAGGAAACAGUAUGUUGGUGACAGGGCAUUGUUAUGUUGCAAAUGCAGUGUCACACAAGAGAAGCAUGAACCAGUUACACCAGCACACAGGGAAAUCCAAAUGAAGCCGAAUAAAGGCUGAGCAAUUUUUAUGAUCCUUUUCCUGUCCUAUGGUAGUAUCUUAGUGUCACGUCCGGGGGAGGUUGGUGGCCAUUUAAAAUGUUUGGAGGGACUUGUGAAACGAUUGUCCACUAUGAAUUGAUUGGGUUACUAGUGUACUAUUAAUUUGUCUGAUGAGAUGCUUAUGGUCUUUCGUAUGUACUCAGCAAGGACUGUAGUUGUUAUCAAAAUUUUGAUAAAAGGAUGGAAUGAUGAAGCCGAAUUUUAGUUAAAAAUAUUAAAUUGGUUUCUGGGCUAGCUUACAGCUUAUAUUUAGUGUCAAAUUAGGCUUUCCUCAGGUUGGGGGGUGUGAGAGAUAACAUUGUCUCCCAAGUGAAGGAGCUGGAGAGAAACCUUUGAAGUAGAGAUCAAAUAACCAAUGUUUAUGGGGAAGCAGGCAAUAAAGGAAGAGAGAAAUAAACAGUUGCAUCUUUGUAAACAAGUGACCUAUGUUUAUGAGGGACCAAAUGACAGAGGAAGCAGCGACCAGAGCAAGGGUGGUCUAUUUGGAGAUAAAACAAAUGGACAAUGUUUUUAGUAUAUCUUGUACCAUGUAAAAAAAAGGGUUUGAUGUGAUGCAUUCUGUGGAAACCUUUUCCAGUACUUCUGACCAUGACUAAUGUCUGUGGAAUGUGAUAAGGGGACAAAAAACCUAUUUAAAGCAAUGUAAUUCUGUUGUUCAGAGAAGAGGACUGGGGACAGUUGAGUGUCUACAUUGGUCACUUAGCUGGAAUCCUCGCUCCCUUCCAUCGGCCGAUGUUAAGUAAAGUUUUGAACUGGUCUACCAAAA